rfam:Salmo salar isolate Sally breed double haploid chromosome ssa05, whole genome shotgun sequence.
AAUGCACCAAUUUGUAAGUCGCUCUGGGUAAGAGCAUCUGCUAAAUGACGUAAA